rnacentral:rRNA from 1 species
ACAGCAGCCCAAAAGGCGUGGGACGUGUUGCCCGAGGAGCAAUCACGGAAACACAUCACUACUGGCUCUGGUGACCUGAACGACAUACUUGGUGGAGGGAUUCAUUGAAAGGAAGUUACUGAGAUAGGUGGUGUUCCAGGAAUGGGUAAAACUCAACUGGGGAUUCAGCUAGCAAUCAACGUCCAAAUUCUCGUGCGCUAUGGUGGCCUUGGCGACAAAGCAUUUUAUAUUGACACAGAGGGCAGUUUCAUGGUUGAACGUGUCUAUCAAACUGCUGAAGGGUGUAUCAGUGACAUAAUGGAGUAUUUUCCGUGCCACCAUGACAAGGCUUCAUCUGGACAAGAAAAUCUGCAGCCUGAGCCUUUCCUAGCAGGCAUCUACUACUUCUGAAUACUAAGCUACACUGAAUACAUUGUGGUGAGGAACUAUCUGAAGAAAUUCCUCGGAGAACAUAAAGAUGUGAGGAUAGUUAUUAUUGAUAGUGUUACUUUCCACUUUCGAUAAGAUUUCGAUGAUCUGGCUCUGAGGACUAGAAUGCUCAGUGGAUUAUCAUUGAAGUUGAUGAAGCUUUCAAAGGCAUAUAACUUGAAACUAUGA